AAAAAUUUUCUAUUUCGUUUAAUGUUAGAUUGUAACAAACAUUCUUUGUUAACGAUGCAGACAUGAUAUCAUCCUAAGCAGGGAGACAGGCGUACUGGAGCAUGGUGCACUUGAGGAUAUAUUAAUGAAUCGGUGGUUCGGGAAUAAACAUGUCUAUGUUGGCUGAAAGAAGGAAAUGAUCACUUGAAAUAUAUAAAAAAUACAUAUAUGUGUCCCCACUGUAUAUGGAUUAACUGAGGGCAUUACAAAGGAAGCAGUUAAAGAUAAUGACCUCAUUUUAUUUCUUAUAAUUGAUCGUCAGCAUUGGAUUUUGUUAGUAGGGGAGUUGAGAGGAAGAAAAUGGAAAAUAUAUGACUCACUGCCUAACCCGAUGCAUAAAGCAGUUGUUGUAGAACUUAUCAAACAUUUUGCCAAUAAUAUUGAAGGAGUAUUUCAAACUGACAUAAAAAAAUGACAAAUGUCAUGUCCUCGAAAUGUUCCGACCCAAAGUAACAGCCACGACUACGGCAUUUUUGUAUGUAAGUAUAUGGAAGUCUUAGUACAAGUUGGUACAAUCGAAUGAAAACAACACUCAAACUGGCAAGUUAUGGUACAAUUUAGGGCGCAGUUCGCAUA